GACGAACGCUGGCGGCGUUCUUAACACAUGCAAGUCGAACGGAAAGGCCCUGCUUUUGUGGGGUGCUCGAGUGGCGAACGGGUGAGUAACACGUGAGUAACCUGCCCUUGACUUUGGGAUAACUUCAGGAAACUGGGUCUAAUACCGGAUAUGAGCUCCUGCUGCAUGGUGGGGGUUGGAAAGUUUCGGCGGUUGGGGAUGGACUCGCGGCUUAUCAGCUUGUUGGUGGGGUAGUGGCUUACCAAGGCUUUGACGGGUAGCCGGCCUGAGAGGGUGACCGGCCACAUUGGGACUGAGAUACGGCCCAGACUCCUACGGGAGGCAGAAGUGGGGAAUAUUGCACAAUGGGCGGAAGCCUGAUGCAGCAACGCCGCGUGCGGGAUGAAGGCCUUCGGGUUGUAAACCGCUUUCGCCUGUGACGAAGCGUGAGUGACGGUAAUGGGUAAAGAAGCACCGGCUAACUACGGG
rnacentral:rRNA from 1 species